AGGGGAGACAAUCUGUCUACAUG
rnacentral:miRNA from 1 species